rnacentral:tRNA from 1 species
GGGACUUUAGUAAAAAUUAUACGUUCUUGUCAUGAACGAGUUAAAGACUUAAACCCUUUAAGCCCCG